UACGGAGGGGGCUAGCGUUGUUCGGAAUUACUGGGCGUAAAGCGCACGUAGGCGGCUUUGUAAGUUAGAGGUGAAAGCCCGGAGCUCAACUUCGGAAUUGCCUUUAAGACUGCAUCGCUUGAAUCAUGGAGAGGUCAGUGGAAUUCCGAGUGUAGAGGUGAAAUUCGUAGAUAUUCGGAAGAACACCAGUGGCGAAGGCGACUCGCUGGACAAGUAUUGACGCUGAGGUGCGAAAGCGUGGGGAGCAAACAGG
rnacentral:rRNA from 1 species